UUUCCUACGGGUGGCAGCAGUGGGGAAUAUUGGACAAUGGGGGCAACCCUGAUCCAGCCAUGCCGCGUGAGUGAUGAAGGCCCUAGGGUUGUAAAGCUCUUUUGUGCGGGAAGAUAAUGACGGUACCGCAAGAAUAAGCCCCGGCUAACUUCGUGCCAGCAGCCGCGGUAAUACGAAGGGGGCUAGCGUUGCUCGGCAUCACUGGGCGUAAAGGGUGCGUAGGCGGGUUUUUAAGUCAGGGGUGAAAUCCUGGAGCUCAACUCCAGAACUGCCUUUGAUACUGAAGAUCUUGAGUCCGGGAGAGGUGAGUGGAACUGCGAGUGUAGAGGUGAAAUUCGUAGAUAUUCGCAAGAACACCAGUGGCGAAGGCGGCUCACUGGCCCGGUACUGACGCUGAGGCACGAAAGCGUGGGGAGCAAACAGGAUUAGAUACCCUGGUAGUC
rnacentral:rRNA from 1 species